UACGUAGGGUGCGAGCGUUGUCCGGAUUUAUUGGGCGUAAAGAGCUCGUAGGUGGUUUGUUGCGUCGGGAGUGAAAACACGGGGCUUAACUUCGUGCUUGCUUUCGAUACGGGCAGACUUGAGGAAGGUAGGGGAGAACGGAAUUCCUGGUGGAGCGGUGGAAUGCGCAGAUAUCAGGAGGAACACCGGUGGCGAAGGCGGUUCUCUGGACCUUUCCUGACGCUGAGGAGCGAAAGCGUGGGGAGCAAACAGG
rnacentral:rRNA from 1 species